AGUGAACGUUGGCGGCGUGCUUAAUACAUGCAAGUCGAACGAUGAAGUCCUAGCUUGCUAGGAUGGAUUAGUGGCGCACGGGUGAGUAAUAUAUAGUUAAUCUGCCUUGCACUGAGGAACAACAGUUGGAAACGAUUGCUAAUACCUCAUACUCCAACUUUACAUAAGUUAAGUUGGGAAAGUCUUUUCGGUGCAAGAUGAGACUAUAUCGUAUCAGCUAGUUGGUAAGGUAAUGGCUUACCAAGGCUAUGACGCGUAACUGGUCUGAGAGGAUGAUCAGUCACAUUGGAACUGAGACACGGUCCAAACUCCUACGGGAGGCAGCAGUAAGGAAUAUUGUGCAAUGGGGGAAACCCUGACGCAGCAACGCCGCGUGGAGGAUGACACUUUUCGGAGCGUAAACUCCUUUUGUUAGGGAAGAAUAAUGACGGUACCUAACGAAUAAGCACCGGCUAACUCCGUG
rnacentral:rRNA from 1 species